rnacentral:rRNA from 1 species
AAGUGAGACUCUACUGUACCUUAAAGGCAACAGUUUCCAUCUGAUCUCAGAAGCUCAGAAGUAUCAACCAUGAUUAGUACUUGGAUGGGAGACCACCAAUGAAUGCCGAGUGUUGUAGGCU